AAUUUUUUCAAUAUUGGGCUUUUAUUCCACUGUCGUCAUUUUACCGAUUGUACCGGAAAAUUACAAAAACUUAGUGUUAACAUUCACAAUUAUUGGAGGUAUAGACAUGGUUGUUAACCUAAUUGAGUUGCCAUUUGUCGUACUUCUGCUUAUUGGAUUGCAUAAGGAGAAAUCAAAGUACGUCAGAUUAUUCCUCAUAUUCCUGGUAGUAAUUACUGUGGUGACAAUCAUUGAGCGCAUUGUAAGCCUGUCUCUCUCCACGCCUUCGUUUUCGCUCAUACUGGGGGUAUUUUUGACCUUGUUAUAUAUAGUGUUCAACGUGUAUUAUAUCGUCGUGUUAAGGAGCCAUUACCUGAACAUGGUGGAGGAUGCCAAGAAUCUACCCCCACCCUCGGCUCGGCAGGCUUAACUCCUCCCCAGCUCCAGGAAGCCGCUAGUACUUGGCACAUCUAUCGAUCCGCACACAAAGGAGGUCGACCAUUUUGGGCCCAGUACGUUACAGAAAAAGAAAUGACGACAAAUCCUUUCAUCAUUAACCUCAGACCCAUUACAAAUGGACCAGUAUCGCACCCAAAUUCACCAUUUUGACCACUUAUUGUACGUCAUUUUUUGAGGGGGAUGAGGUAAUCUUACACAUCGAAAAUAUUUAAUAGUAAAUAUAUUCUGUGUCCUUAGACUAAGUAUAAAAUUGAUUAGCAAUAAACACAGAUUUAUAUGUAAUUUGUAUGUAUUCGCAAAUAUAUUAUGUAAGAAAACAGGA